CUUGCAAUAAAAUGUUUAUUACUUAAUAAAUCGACUCUUUGAUUUAUUUGCUUGCUCUGAAAUGAUAUGAGUUUGCCAAAUCAUACAUUGAUGCACUUCAUAAGGUGUUUCCUUUGAGGUUUUUCAUACUGAAUGGAAUGAUUUUGAAUAUCGAUAUAUUAGUAAAAAGCUUUCCCCAACUUUUGAAUUGUCCAAAGAAAAACUUUAUGUAAGAGUCGAAGCACCAAAAGGAGAAUUCGGAAUAAAAGUUUGAACAAUGAGAGCAUUUGAUUUUCAUCUGUAAUAUGUUCUAAUUUGACCAAUCUUUUUACAUUCUCUAGGUUCUGACAGUUGAAUAUGUCUCUAGGAUCAAAAUAAACUGCAUACAAGGUCUUGAUCAAUUAAGUGUGUAUCGCCAGAGGUAUCAAAGAAUAUAUAUGAACCACUUUAAGUGAAAUCCUCCUUAUCUUGAUGUCAGCUUUUCUACUUCUAUUUUUAUUUCUUUUGGGAGUAAUUAAGCAAUUCAAUAAUUUUAUUUUUUUCUCAAUAUCCCAACUAUGGGUGCUACUGGAAAUUGUAGGUUGCUUAUAUUUUUUCUCUUGAUGCCCCCAUUGGUUAUGUUUUCCUUGUUGGACUUUAAUGAGUAUUCUAGAUGAUUAUUUUGAUGGCUACUAUCAUAAGAGAUGUUAGAAUCUUAGAUAAUUGUUACACAUUGUCUUCUUCUUGCCAACUCUUUCACUAGAUUUAUUUCAAAUAUGAGUUUCCUCUUGAACUAAAUAUCUUGCCAAAACUGUACACCCAACUUUAUCAGGUAUUGCGUCUAUAAAAUUAUUUUCUUCACCUGGUUUAUAAUUUGUUCGUGGUCAUCGAUUUUCUGCAGGAAGUAUACAAUAAUCUUUUUUUAACUACUGAACUCUUACUCGUAGGUGUGGUUGUUGUACCUUUACACGGGGUGAGCUCUAAGGUAAAACAUUCUGAGAGUCAGUGGAAGUGAUAUACGUCCACGGUAGUUUAGUUACCCUUUUGGCAUAUGUCAAUUACUUUCGAAGAGAUAUUUCUUUUAAUUUCUUCUAAAAUUUCUAUCUGAUUGCCAAGACAUAUUUCUUGCACAUGCAUCCUUGUCCCCGUUGUUAAUUUAGUCAGACUGGAGCUGUUUGUUGAAGUUGGUAGAUAGGUAAAGUACUUGUUAAAAUAAAAAAUUUUGUUGGUUUUUUUUUUUUGCUAAAAUUAUGUUGAUUUUCUUUGUUGUUAUAUAAUGAAAUUUGAUACUAAUGGGACAUCUUGUCAAGACUAGAUAGAACUUGUGGACUAGAGGAUCAGAAUUAUUUUUGUUGUUCUAUUAGUGCUUUUGUUUGUUCAUUGCUUCUGUUUUCUACAAGUAUGCUGUGAAAAACUGAAAGUCGUAUUUUAUUUCUCCAGGUAGAGUUGGAUUCGAGGGAAAAACACCACCCAUGUGAUACAAAUGUCACAGGUGCAAGGUGCUUGGUAUGUCAAUGUACCUGCAAGUAUCAUUUGCUUUUUUCUGUUUAUUUUAUUUAUUUAUUUAUUUAUUUAUUUUAUUUUAUUUUAUUUUUAUCACUCAAGUAAAUAGAAGUUCUUAGAUGAAACAAAUGCACUACUAAAAUUCAUACUUGAUAAAAUACUUUUAUAUAGUGCAUUUGAUACAGCGCUGCCCAACCACUGGAUAUCUGAAUUAUGACUUAGAAAUAGUGAAACCUCCCACUGCAAUCUCAAGUCUAUGCUAAUGGCUAUUCCUGGAGACUCAUAUGCAUUACCAAGUGGGGCUAUUGCAGUGUUGAAGCCAAAUGAGUAAGUAGUUUCUAAAAAUUCAUAUCGACCUUUUUAUGUAGAGGGUGCGAUGUUCUGAGCUAGGAAUUGAAGAGGAGACAAUACGGGCCUUUUAUGUUGAUUUUGUUAGAGAGAUUUUUAUGUUGUUCUUUUCCAUUAUGCUGAUGGGAGCAAGGCCCACUUCUGCUAAUUAAUAAUCCCAUAUGUACCAAAUUGAAUUGGGGUGUUACCUUUUUUUUUUUUUUUUCCAUAACAAGUUUGUUAUCCACAGAUUAUUCAUAACUUCAUAGAUAUGAAAGAAGUUACAUUUUGGAAAUUAGUUUUUAAGCAAUCCUUCGUAAAUAAGUGUCGUCAUGUGACGAUAUUUGUUAGUUCUCAGACCAGUGGCAUGAUUUUGAUCUAUUGAAUUUCAGCAAAGGAGGAGGAAAAGAAGAGUAUGCACUUUUUGUUUUAAUCCUUAUUGUACUUGCACAAAUAUAGUGUAUGUUCUGCUUUGGCUGAUUAAUCCAUUCAUAUUUUCUACAGGACAGAGAUUGGAAAGCAUGAGAUGAACAAAUAUAUGCAACAAAGGAUGAUUGUAUACUGAUGAAAAAUUAUUCUUUUCGAACUUCUCUGAAGUUAUCUUUGUUCUUCGUUUUACAUUUUACAUAAUUAGUUCGAAAGAUAAUUUUUCUAUGGAUCUCAUUGAAGUUUUCUUUAUUUCUUCACUCUUUUGAUGCUUCGUAACUGUAUCUUAUGGGUGAAAUCAUGUGUAAAUUUUCUUUUCAAAUUGAGUUUAUUUUGUUGACCUCAUUCAAUGCACAUAUCUCCCUUUAAUCCUAAACAUUCGACAUAUUUGUUAGUUCUCAGACCAGUGGCAUGAUUUUGAUCUAUUGAAUUUCAGCAAAGGAGGAGAAACAGAAGAGUAUGCACCUUUUAUUUUAAUCCUUAUUGUACUUGCACAAAUAUAGUGUAUGUUCUGCUUUGGUUGAUUAAUCCAUUCAUAUUUUCUACAGGACAGAGAUCGGAAAGCAUGAGAUGAACAAAUAUAUGCAACAAAGGAUGAUUGUAUACUGAUGAAAAAUUAUUCUUUUCGAACUUCUCUGUAGUUAUCUUUGUUCUUCGUUUUACAUUUUACAUAAUUAGUUCGAAAGAUAAUUUCUCUAUGGAUCUCAUUGAAGUUUUCUUUAUUUCUUCACUCUUUUGAUGCUUCGUAACUGUAUCUUAUGGGUGAAAUCAUGUGUAAAUUUUCUUUUCAAAUUGAGUUUAUUUUGUUGACCUCAUUCAAU
rnacentral:lncRNA from 1 species